GGUAGUGUGGCUUCUUUAAUUGGCAGGUUAGACUGAGUAAGUUACUGAAGAGAAAGGAGUUGAAGGAGAAGAUGGGUGCGGGCAAGAAAAAUGCAAAGGUGAAAGGAAAGGACUGAAAGGAAUGUUUACCAAGGGCUCAUCAGCAUGGCAGUCAGCCCUGCAGGAACCAGGAUAAGAGGAAAGGUCAUCAUACCUGCCAGUCUUCCUGAAAUACAGAAAUGACAUCACGGCUGCUAUAAUGGAUUAAGGCCAGGAAGAUGUCCUGUUUCUGAAGGAGCUGUCAUGGAAAAAAAAGAAAAGAAGGAAUGAAGAUGAUGUUAUUUUACAUGGGGGAGCCUCAGGAACAAGCAUGUAACAUGAGGAAUCAGCUCUGCAUAGUGGUCUGUGGGUUCUCCCAUACUACCUUCAUGCCUGCCCCACAUUCCCUCACAGGUGUCUUCCCUGAUAAAUUAUCUU